rnacentral:rRNA from 1 species
ACAGAGGUGGCGAGCGUUACUCGGAUUUAUUGGGUGUAAAGGGCAAGUAGGCGUCUUAACAAGUUGGAGGUGAAAUCCUGCAGCUCAACUGCAGAACUGCUCCCAAAACUGUUAGGAUUGAGACUGGAAGAGGAAAACGGAAUUCUCGGUGUAAGGUUGAAAUCUAUAGAUAUGGAGUAGAAUACCAGUGGCGAAGGCUGCUUUCUGGUCCAGUACUGGCGCUGAAUUGCGAAAGCUAGUGGAGCAAACAG